rnacentral:sRNA from 1 species
UUCGCCUGUUGUUCAAGAGGAUGAGCACCUCCGAAGGAGGUUUGAGCCGAGCGCAGCGAGACCACGUUGCUUUAGCAACGGCCCGCAGGGCAAGCAUCAAAGAUGCGCGUAAUCCUCUCUCGCCGACCA